rnacentral:rRNA from 1 species
CAGUAGGGAAUCUUCCACAAUGGGCGAAAGCCUGAUGGAGCAACGCCGCGUGUGUGAUGAAGGGUUUCGGCUCGUAAACACUGUUGUAAGAGAAGAAUGACAUUGAGAGUAACUGUUCAAUGUGUGACGGUAUCUUACCAGAAAGGAACGGCUAAAUACGUGCCAG